AUUGAACGCUGGCGGCAGGCCUAACACAUGCAAGUCGAACGAGUGGCGGACGGGUGAGUAAUGUCUGGGAAACUGCCUGCUGGAGGGGGAUAACUACUGGAAACGGUAGCUAAUACCGCAUACCAUCAGCUGUGCCCAGAUGGGAUUAGCUGGUUGGCGGGGUAACGGCUCACCAAGGCGACGAUCCCUAGCUGGUCUGAGAGGAUGACCGUGCAAACUGGAACUACGACACGGUCCAGACUCCUACGGGAGACGGCAGUGGGGGAUAUUGCACAAUGGGGUCAAGUCAGAUGCAGCCAUGCCCCGUGUAGGAAGAAGGCCUUCGGGUUGUAAAGUACUUUCAGCGGGGAGGCGUUACCCGCAGAAGGGGCACCGGCUAACUCCGGGCCAGCCGCCGCGGUAAUUC
rnacentral:rRNA from 1 species